CUUCAUGUUACCCUGGCGAAGUAGGGAGAAUAAGUACGCAGUGAGGCUGCAAUCAUUUCCUCUGAAGUUCGAUUAAAAGCCAAGUUUUAAAAUGUUAGACCAGUGCUAAUCUGCAUGACUGCUUCGGGUUUCAUUUGAGAAAGAAUUGUGGUUGCAAACAUUAACACUAAAAUAUGUGAAUCUAUUUCCAUAAUCAGGGCCCUACGGGAUGGAGCCUAGAUUUAAUAUGGUUUUGGUGCUUACGUGUUUUCCACUACAUUGAUUAAUACUGUCCUCUCAUGUGGAACCCAAUCAGGAGCAACCUGCCAGAGGACUAUUUUCUAUAAAUUUAAGCUGAACUAAUAUCUGUGGAAAUCUUAAGACUAAAGAAGAGUUGAUGAAUAUACUACAAUUAAAGUUGCCUUGUAAAUUGAAGAAUGAAGCAGAGGAUAAUGAACAUAUUGAAAUGAUUCCACAUGUUUUAUGCAUGACACAUUUGUAAUUAAAACGGAUCCUGAAGUUUUGCUUUUGGUGCCUAGGCCGGAGUGCAAUGGCACGAUCUCGGCUCACUGCAACCUCCGCCUCCUGGGUUCAAGCAAUUCUCCUGCCUCAGCCUCCCGAGUAGGUGGGAUUACAGGUACCUGCCACCAUGCCCAGUUAAUUCUUUGUAUUUUUUUAGUAGAGAUGGGGUUUUGCCAUGUUGGCCGGGCUGGUCUCAAACUCCUGCACAGCUCGGCCUCCCAAAGUGCUGGGACUACAGGCAUGAGCCACAGCACCCUGCCAGCUGUAGGAUAUUUCAUUGAGUGGAUAUAUCA
rnacentral:lncRNA from 1 species